rnacentral:rRNA from 1 species
CCUACGGGGGACAGCAGUGAGGAAUAUUGGUCAAUGGGCGCGAGCCUGAACCAGCCAAGUAGCGUGAAGGAUGACUGCCCUAUGGGUUGUAAACUUCUUUUAUAUGGGAAUAAAGUGCACCACGUGUGGCGUUUUGCAUGUACCUUAUGAAUAAGCAUCGGCUAACUCCGUGCCAGCAGCCGCGGUAAUACGGAGGAUGCGAGCGUUAUCCGGAUUUAUUGGGUUUAAAGGGAGCGCAGGCGGGUUAUCAAGUCAGCGGUAAAAUUGUGCGGCUCAACCGAAUCGUGCCGUUGAAACUGGGGUCCUUGAGUGUGCGAGAGGUACGCGGAAUUCGUGGUGUAGCGGUGAAAUGCAUAGAUAUCACGAAGAACUCCGAUUGCGAAGGCAGCAUACUGGAGCGUAACUGACGCUGAUGCUCGAAAGUGUGGGUAUCGAACAGGAUUAGAUACCCUAGUAGUC